CUGUUUUGCGUGUUGGAAGUCGUUUAAACUGUAUUAUUAUCGACUAUAGUGUACAUAGCUGUUUUUUCGCCAAAAGCAUUCGGUGAUUCAAUAUUCUUACGUCAGAUCUUUUCUUUACUAAGGAGUUUAAGAUCGAAAUGUGCCAGACUACGAAUAGAAAUGGGAUCAUCAUUGGUUGACUUGGAAAAGUGAGUUUUAUUGUUGUAAAAUGGCGUACGACUUCAAAUAAAAAGGAAUGCGAAAUACAAUCAUCAUGUACGUCAAGGCUUGGAAACUUUUUCAACGAGGAACAGGGGCUUGGCUUCAUAAUAUAGCUCAAGGGUUAAAACGAUAUUCAAUCUUCAUAACUUUACGUCUUCACGUAAACCGGGUCGCAAGAUGAAUAAUUGAAUUAGAUAAUUUCUUCGAUAACAUACCUGAUUCUAUAUCUUCGGUGAGAGUAAUUUUAGCACAGGUUGACUCGAGUAGAGGAUCAAAAGCUUCUAAGACACUGUGACGUACUCUUCCACCAUCACAUUCAUUAUUGAAGGAUUUACUCAAAUUUCUUCUAGAUUUAGUUUCUUUACAAUUAACAAUCCAAUCACGAUUGUCAUUAUCAUUAUCCAGACGAGUUACUUCGUUAAACAAUGUUAGAUCGAUUAAAUUAUUAUCGUCUUUCUUUUUAAUCGCAUUCAGCACAGAAACAUUCGAAACAUU